rnacentral:rRNA from 1 species
UGCCUCAGUAACGGCGAGUGAAGCGGCAACAGCUCAAAUUUGAAAUCUGGCCGCAAGGUCCGAGUUGUAAUUUGCAGAGGAUGCUUUUGGCGAGGUGCCUUCCGAGUUCCCUGGAACGGGACGCCAUAGAGGGUGAGAGCCCCGUACGGUAGGACCACCGAGCCUUUGUAAAGCUCCUUCGACGAGUCGAGUAGUUUGGGAAUGCUGCUCUAAAUGGGAGGUGUACGUCUUCUAAAGCUAAAUACCGGCCAGAGACCGAUAGCGCACAAGUAGAGUGAUCGAAAGAUGAAAAGCACUUUGAAAAGAGGGUUAAAAAGUACGUGAAAUUGUUGAAAGGGAAGCAUUCAUGACCAGACUUGGGCUUGGUUGAACAUCCGGCGUUCUCGCCGGUGCACUCUGCCAGUCCAGGCCAGCAUCAGUUUGCCCCGGGGGACAAAGGCGGUGGGAAUGUGGCUCUCUCCGGGGAGUGUUAUAGCCCGCCGUGUAAUGCCCUGGGGCGGACUGAGGAACGCGCUUCGGCUCGGAUGCUGGCGUAAUGGUCAUCAAUGACCCGUCUUGAAACACGGACCAAGGAGUCGUCUUCGUAUGCGAGUGUUCGGGUGUCAAACCCCUACGCGAAAUGAAAGUGAACGUAGGUGAGAGCUUCGGCGCAUCACCGACCGAUCCUGAUGUUCUCGGAC